AGAGAUUGCAUCCAGAGUGGAGUCCAGCGAGAGUCUUGAGACCGAGCUGAACACAAGGCUUAAAGAAAGUGAGGCAGAGGUGGAGGCUCUGAAAACUGUGGAUCGAGAACUGGAGGUCAGACUGAACGCCAGCGAUCUGGAGGGUCAAAACACACGUGUGGAACAACUGCAGGAGGAGAGGGAAGAGUUGAACGUCAGACUGACAGAGCUGGGCAAUAAGGUUGGAGAUGUGGACAGAGGUGUGAGGGUACUGCAGACUGUCGAUCAAG